UUGAACGCUGGCGGCAGGCCUAACCCCUUCCAGUCGAACGGAUUAAGGGAGCUUGCUCCUGGAUUCAGCGGCGGACGGGUGAGUAAUGCCUAGGAAUCUGCCUGGUAGUGGGGGAUAACGUCCGGAAACGGGCGCUAAUACCGCAUACGUCCUGAGGGAGAAAGUGGGGGAUCUUCGGACCUCACGCUAUCAGAUGAGCCUAGGUCGGAUUAGCUAGUUGGUGGGGUAAAGGCCUACCAAGGCGACGAUCCGUAACUGGUCUGAGAGGAUGAUCAGUCACACUGGAACUGAGACACGGUCCAGACUCCUACGGGAGGCAGCAGUGGGGAAUAUUGGACAAUGGGCGAAAGCCUGAUCCAGCCAUGCCGCGUGUGUGAAGAAGGUCUUCGGAUUGUAAAGCACUUUAAGUUGGGAGGAAGGGCAGUAAGUUAAUACCUUGCUGUUUUGACGUUACCAACAGAAUAAGCACCGGCUAACUUCGUG
rnacentral:rRNA from 1 species